AUGAUCCUUUUUUUGUAGUGUCCCUAUCUCUCCAUAUUGACUGCGAAGAGGCUCCACCACUCAUAGGUCCGAACAAUCACAUGAUCCUCCUCCUACACUCACCGUUCGAGAAGUAACUAUGUCGGAAAGUAAACGAACCUGGAGAACCGCCUUCUCCGUGGUAGAUCCGCCGUCAAACGAGCCCCUCCCAACAGAUCGAUACAAACCCUAGAAAUUCCAAUGACUGAUUUUCAUUAUUCGCCGGGGCUCCACCGUCCUCUAGCAGAGCAACACCUUCGACCAACGAGCCGCCAGGACCCAUGAGGCACUCCUAGGGAUCCGCCGCGCCAUGGAUUGAAAAACGGUAUCGGAAAAAGGAGAAGAGAAGCACCACUGAAACGUCACCGGAUGCCAACUACUUCGUCAGUAAGCUCAGACGCCGAAGGAGGGGGUGGGUGGGAGCCGGCCUGACUGUCCGACGAAGCUAAUUAUGAUUGUUAGAUUUGAUGUUGGUUCAAAUGAAUUUAAUUAUAGUUCUGGGUCGCUACUUUUUUCCUUAUACGAACAGGGUCUUUAGUCUGCUUCACUAGAUUUGGGUUUAUAUAGUGAAUGGAAUCACUCUGUUCUAAAGGAUAUGGUACAAGUAGAAUCUAUCUGGGAUUGAGAGCCAUGAGAUUCUUAGUGUUCUAUCUUUCUCUGAUUCUAGGUGGAAAACAUUGUUUUGGCUCUAAAAAUUGAGAUUCGUGUGUCAAAUUUUCAUGGUACUUGACAAGAUUACAACUUUUCUUACCAUGAAAAGACAUAAACUUUAUAACUUGCAUUGUUGUUUAUAACUUGCAUUGUUGUUGCUUGCUUUUAUGUUAAUUUUAUAUGCUUUAUGAGCUCAUAGUAGCUAUACAUUUACAGGUUUUUGAUCUUACAGAUGUGAAACACCAUGAUUUUGUACGUUAAGGUUUGGCGUUUUUGAGACCUUUGCAGCGAAAGGGGAUGAUUGUGCAAGAGAAUGCAGAGAAAAGAUGCAGAUCAUGGUUGCAGGUGGUGAUGGUACAGGUGCUCGGGUUCGCCAAUCUCUUGUCCAGAAGUAGGUGGGAAUGUCAAUAUACUGUUGACAGAAGUUUUCAGCUGGCAUAGCUCCAUGUAUAGUAGUGAUAUUCUUCCCCUCUCAAGUGUGUAAUGAAAGUCAUCCACCAUGGAGUUUUCUCUAUAAAUAAGUUUUUGAUGUUGGUUAUGUUUGAAAGUGACAAGGACCCGGUAAGUACUCUAGAUAAGUAGGUGUAUUCAUAUAAUUGGAGAAUAAACAGCGUGUCAUUGUUGGUUUGUUUCAAAGACGAGAAUAAAAAGCCUUACUAGAAGUUUUUAAGACAUUUUCUUCCAUGUAAAAAAAAGAAUGUUAUAAGAAGAGGAAGGUCUAAAAAAAUCA